rnacentral:rRNA from 1 species
CCUACGGGAGGCAGCAGUGAGGAAUAUUGGUCAAUGGACGCAAGUCUGAACCAGCCAUGCCGCGUGCAGGAAGACGGCUCUAUGAGUUGUAAACUGCUUUUGCACGAGGGUAAACGCAGAUACGCGUAUCUGUCUGAAAGUAUCGUACGAAUAAGUAUCGGCUAACUCCGUGCCAGCAGCCGCGGUAAUACGGAGGAUUCAAGCGUUAUCCGGAUUUAUUUGGUUUAACGGGUGCGUAGGCGGUCGGAUAAGUUAGAGGUGAAAUCCCGGGGCUCAACUUCGGAAUUGCCUCUGAUACUGUUCGGCUAGAGAGUAGUAGCGGUAGGCGGAAUGUAUGGUGUAGCGGUGAAAUGCUUAGAGAUCAUACAGAACACCGAUUGCGAAGGCAGCUUACCAGGCUACUUCUGACGUUGAGGCACGAAAGCGUGGGGAGCAAACAGGAUUAGAUACCCGGGUAGUC